GCAAAAUUAAAUUAUUACUAAUCAAAUCAGAGUAGUAUAAUGAGAAAUAAAACCAAAUCUUAAAAAUACUUUCCUCCCAGCCCUCCCUUCUUCCCAGGCUUACCUUUACUCCUGAUCUUCACUAUCUUCAUCCCACAAUGAUGCAGGGGGACAGAGAAUGUAUCAGUUCAUCAGUCUCUGCCACUUCUUCCUCCUCAGGGUGAGGAUUCCUCACACUCCUGCCCUGCUCCAUUGUGGGACCCCUCUCACAGUUCUCCAUGAACUUCUCCAACGUGAGUUCUUCCCACAGGCUGCAGUUCUUCACAAACCGCUCCAGUGUGGCUCCCUGCCAUGGGAUGCAGUCUUUCAGAACAGGCUGUUCUAGUGCCCUGAAGAGAACUUGGAUGAAGAUCUUGAACAUCUGCAGCAGUAAACACUAGGUCUCUCCUGCAGAGCUUGGGAUUCAGGCUGCACAAUAACUACAUGUGGAUGAUUUUUCCAGGAGCUUUGCUGAUUCACAGAAACUAAGCCAAGCCCAAGGAUGGAGGAAUUUCUGCAGAACACAAUGCAAGCUCUGGCUGGAGACUUUCUGGUUCUAGUGGGAGAUGCCACUGUGAGGAUAAGGACCUUGGACUUCCUGAGAUGCCACAGUGACUGAGGCUGCCUGUCCACCAAAUGCAGCUGGGAACUCCUUACAGUUCUUGCCACAUUUUGGAAGUGGUGAGGAGAGAUGGUACCUGGCUUCUCUGAAGGAGUCCCGAUGAUCCCGGUCAGUCAAUGUGCAGCAUCUGAUUCCCACCUGAAUGUGGACUCCUCACAGGUUCCACGUCACUGCUUUCCUUGGAGAGCCCACAGGCACACAGGCAUCUUUCCAAUUAUGGGGUUUAAAUUUUUGGCCCUUUAGUUUUUAAGGAAUGUUUUUGACAUUUUCAAAGUUGAAGCAACUGGAGCUUUCUUUCAUCUAGGAGUGAAGUUGACUCAGCUCUGAUUUACCCACUUUUAUUUAAAGACCAUGACUACUACUUCUAAAAUGUUACUCAUGUAACUAUGUUAUUACAUUAUCUGUAAUGUUAUUACAUUAUCUGCUUUUCCAUCUGUUAAAUGCCAUGGUUCCAGCACCAAAAAUACCACUGUCUGACAGUAGCAGCUGUCAAAGGUCUAUUUAGGCAUCUUUAAAAAAUAGUAAAACCUGAUACCACUAAAUAUAAACCAAGUUUUAUUAUUAUAAAGUUUUCUUUGGAUGUGGUUUUAGAAAUGUUACUAUUUAUAGCACCUCUGGAAUUUUACUUCUGAUAGUAGGGAGAUUGUACUUAUCUAUAAUUUUAAGUAUAAUUAUUUGCUUAUUGUUGGUUUAAAUAAUGUUAUUUUUUAUAACUCACAUACAAAUAUAUAACCAUCUGUGUGAAUCUACCCUCAGCAUUCUGCGUGGCUGCUUCCCAACUCUGUUGGAACAGCACCUAUGACCAACCUGCUUCACACAGGAUAAAAAUCUAUCACAUGGACCAUACCCAUGUCCCAUCUUCUAGGUAACCCCCAUGACCUCAUGACAAAUCAAAAGUCUAAUUAUAAGCAUAGCUUAUGAAGCAGGAGAUGCCCUGAACCAAGUCCUGGGUAUCACUUAGAAGUGUAAAACUACAAUUCUGUAGUGAAUAGUGCACUUAAAUGUGAUUGAUAAUUGGAACAACAAGUUAAAUGAACCUUGUUUAUAAUAAUUGAGUAGAUCUGAAGACUUCUCAAAGCCAGGUGUCCCAUUAUUAAGCACCAUCUUAUGGACUCUAUUUCCUUCAGGAAUGUCACAGCCUUGGCUGGGCAUGAACAACCAACCAAAGAGGUUGUGCAACCCUGCAGCUCCACAGUGCUGCACACAGACAAGCUGUGUGUCUGCAAGAGGCCUGGGCACCCUGUCCCUGGUCCUGGCUGCUCUUACACGUCUGUCCCUGUGGGCUCAGCACCUGCUGGUCCUUCAGCCCAUCUGGAAAAUUGCUGAAGAGCACAGCUCUUCCAGUCACAGCCCAGC